CACGUAGGGUGCGAGCGUUGUCCGGAAUUAUUGGGCGUAAAGAGCUCGUAGGCGGUGUGUCGCGUCGGCCGUGAAAACCUGCAGCUUAACUGUGGGCUUGCGGUCGAUACGGGCAUCACUGGAGUUCGGCAGGGGAGACUGGAAUUCCUGGUGUAGCGGUGAAAUGCGCAGAUAUCAGGAGGAACACCGGUGGCGAAGGCGGGGUCUCUGGGCCGGAUACUGA
rnacentral:rRNA from 1 species